rnacentral:rRNA from 1 species
UACGAAGGGUGCAAGCGUUACUCGGAAUUACUGGGCGUAAAGCGAGCGUAGUCGGUUAUUUAAGUCGGGUGUGAAAGCCCCGGGCUCAACCUGGGAAGGGCAUUCGAGACUGCUCUGCUAGGGUGCGGAAGAGGGGAGCGGAAUUUCCGGUGUAGCGGUGAAAUGCGUAGAUAUCGGAAGGAACACCAGUGGCGAAAGCGGCUCCCUGGUCCAGCACCGACGUUCAGGCACGAAAGCGUGGGGAGCAAACAGG